GGAAACUUUCCCAAUGUCCAGAGCCCUUGAGGUCCUGCAAAUGAAGGAGGAGGAUGUCCUCAAAUUCCUUGCAGCGGGAACCCACUUAGGUGGCACCAACCUCGACUUCCAAAUGGAACAGUCCAUCUACAAAGGAAAAGUGAUGGCAUCUACAUCAUAAAUCUGAGGAGGACCUGGGAGAAGCUUCUGCCGGCAGCUCGUGCCAUUGUUGCCAUUGAGAACCCUGCUGAUGUCAAUGUCAUAUCCUCCAGGAAUACUGGCCAGCGAGCUGUGCUGACGUUUGCCUUUGCCACUGGAGCCACUCUUACUGUUGGUCACUGCACUCCUGGAACCUUCACUAACCAGAUCCAGGCAGCAUUCCGGGGGCUGCGUCUUCUGGUGGUUACUGAUCCCAGGACUGACCUCCAGCCUCUCACAGAGGUGUCUUAUGUGAACCUGCCUACAGUUGCUCUGUGCAACACAGAUUCUCCUCUGCCUUAUGUGGACAUCACCAUCCCAUGAACAACAAGGGAGCUCACUCAGUGGGUCUGAUGUGGAUGCUGGGCUGGGAAGUUCUGUGCACGUGUGGUAGCAUCACCUGUAAACACCCGUGGGUGGUCAUGCCUAAUCUUUACUUCUAUAGAGAUCCUGAAGAGAGUGAAAAGGAAGAGCAGGCUGACGCUGAAAAAGCUAUGACCAAGGAGAAAUUUCAGGGCGAAUAGACAGCUUCAGCUCCUGAAUUUACUGCUACUCAACCAGAGGUUGCAGACUGGUCUAAAGGCGUGCAGGUGCCUUCUGUGCCUCUUCAACAGUUCUCUGCUCAAGACAAGCGCUCAGCCUGCCGUGGAAGACUGGUCUGCAGCUUCCACUGCUCAGGCCACUGAAUGAGUAGGAACAACCACUAAGUGGUCUUAAGCUGUUCUUCCACAGGCUUUUAAGGAGGAUGAAUAUAAGGUUAAUGGAAAAUAAACAUUAGUUUC